GAUGAACGCUGGCGGCGUGCCUAAUACAUGCAAGUCGAGCGAACAGACGAGGAGCUUGCUCCUCUGACGUUAGCGGCGGACGGGUGAGUAACACGUGGAUAACCUACCUAUAAGACUGGGAUAACUUCGGGAAACCGGAGCUAAUACCGGAUAAUAUAUUGAACCGCAUGGUUCAAUAGUGAAAGACGGUUUUGCUGUCACUUAUAGAUGGAUCCGCGUCGCAUUAGCUAGUUGGUAAGGUAACGGCUUACCAAGGCGACGAUGCGUAGCCGACCUGAGAGGGUGAUCGGCCACACUGGAACUGAGACACGGUCCAGACUCCUACGGGAGGCAGCAGUAGGGAAUCUUCCGCAAUGGGCGAAAGCUUGACGGAGCAACGCCGCGUGAGUGAUGAAGGUCUUCGGAUCGUAAAACUCUGUUAUUAGGGAAGAACAAAUGUGUAAGUAACUAUGCACGUCUUGACGGUACCUAAUCAGAAAGCCACGGCUAACUACGUG
rnacentral:rRNA from 1 species